rfam:Guillardia theta CCMP2712 unplaced genomic scaffold GTITHscaffold_74, whole genome shotgun sequence.
GCUCUCAUAGCGCAGUUGGUAGCGCGUCGCUCUGAUAAGGCGAAGGUCAUCGGUUCGAGCCCGGUUGAGAGCA